GGGUUUCAAAAAUUAGAAUUUUAGGUCUAAUGAAGAUUUCUAAGAUUUCUAGUAAUUCGCUAAUUGGAUUAGAGUGAAAUUUAUAUAUAUAGGUAGUAGACUUAUUUUUCUACAAAUAUGUGAAUUUUGAAAUAAAUUGAAUGGUGUAAAAAUGAGAUAUUAGCACUAAAAGAUUAGCAUCUAGUUUGGAGAAAGAGAUCGACCAACACCCAAGAAAAUUUUAGGAUUUUUCUUCUAUUUGGUAAGUGCAAUUAUGUUCAACUUUAUUAUUCUUAUUUUUAACUAAGAGAUUGAGAGGUGUGUAAAUUUUUAAGUAAUAUCAAUGAUUUAAUGAAUAAAUAUUGAGAUUUUAAUCUAUCUUAGGAUUGAUUUGAGUUAAUUAGGUUUUUUAGAUUUGGUUUAGGAUUUAGGAUUUAUUGAAGAUUUAGGAUUUGUUUAGGAUUUGAUUUAGGAUUUAGGAUUUGUUCAAGAUUUGGCUUAGGAUUUAAGAUUUAGUAAGGAUUUGACCUAGGAUUUGAUUUAGGAUUUAGGAUUUGUUUAAGAUUUGAUUUAGGAUUUAGGAUUUAUUUAGGAUUUGACCUAAGAUUUGCUUUAGAAUUUGAUAUAAGAUUUAAUUAAGAUUGAUUAGGAUUUCAAUUGAGAUU
rnacentral:lncRNA from 1 species